CGCACUACUCUCGGCAACGGAUAUCUCGGCUCUCGCAUUGAUGAAGAAUGUAGCGAAAUGCGAUACCUGGUGUGAAUUGCAGAAUCCCGCGAACCAUCAAGUCUUUGAACGCAAGUUGCGCCCGAGGCUACCCGCCGAGGGCACGCCUGCGUGGGGGUCACGC
rnacentral:rRNA from 1 species